rnacentral:tRNA from 1 species
GCCCGAGUGCAGUCGGUAGAGCAUCAGACUUUUAAUCUGAGGGUCCAGAGUUCAAGUCCCUAUUUGGGCG